rnacentral:rRNA from 1 species
CCCCUAGAUGUACGCGGCCGCACGUGUUCUACAAUGACACUAGCAACAAGUAUGUCCUGCUCCGAUAGGAGUUCGGGUAAUCUUCAUAGUUAGUGUCGUGCUUAGGAUUGUCUUUUGUAAUUAUAGGACAUGAAUUAGGAAUUCCUAGUAUAGGUACGUCAUCAUCGUGCCUAGAUUAGGUCCCUGCCCUUUGUACACACCGCCCGUCGCUCCUACCGAUCGAAGAGUUAGGUGAAUUGUUUUGAUCGAUAAGAUUUGACUAUGGUCAACUCUCGUUGUGAAAUUCUGUGAAUCUGACUGUUUAGAGGAAGGAAAAGUCGUAACA